rnacentral:rRNA from 1 species
UACGAACCGUCCAAACGUUAUUCGGAAUCACUGGGCUUAAAGGGUGCGUAGGCGGCCCGGCAAGUUGGGUGUGAAAUCCCUCGGCUCAACCGAGGAAUAGCGCCCAAAACUGCCGGGCUUGAGGGAGACAGAGGUGAGCGGAACAGCGGGUGGAGCGGUGAAAUGCGUUGAUAUCCGCUGGAACACCGGUGGCGAAAGCGGCUCACUGGGUCUUUUCUGACGCUGAGGCACGAAAGCCAGGGGAGCGAAC